rnacentral:ribozyme from 16 species
CAAACAAAACAACAGCAACAGCAUGACAAACUCAAAAAGACAAAAAUGAGAAUCAAAGCAAAAAUAGCGCCCAUAUUUCUACAGUACUCAAUACGAAUCUUCUGUCCAUCAAUUUUGAUUUCGCUUUCAAU